rnacentral:rRNA from 1 species
CUACGGGGGGCUGCAGUGAGGAAUAUUGCACAAUGGGGGGAACCCUGAUGCAGCAACGCCGCGUGGAGGAUGACGCAUUUCGGUGUGUAAACUCCUUUUAUAUGUCAAGAAAAUGACGGUAGCAUAUGAAUAAGCACCGGCUAACUCCGUGCCAGCAGCCGCGGUAAUACGGAGGGUGCAAGCGUUACUCGGAAUCACUGGGCGUAAAGGACGCGUAGGCGGGUUGGAAAGUCAGGUGUGAAAUCCUAUAGCUUAACUGUAGAACUGCACUUGAAACUUCUAAUCUAGAGUAUGGGAGGGGAGAUGGAAUUAGAGGUGUAGGGGUACAAUCCGUAGAUAUCAGGAGGAAUACCUAAAGCGAAGGCGAUCCCCUGGAACAUUACUGACGCUAAGGCGUGAAAGCGUGGGGAGCAAACAGGAUUAGAUACCCUAGUAGUC